GGCGGGUUAGCGUAAUGGCUUAACGCGUCAGCCUCCGAUUGUAAGGAAUUAGCUGGAGAUUCCGGGUUCGAGUCCCGGGCCUGUCG